rnacentral:rRNA from 1 species
GUCCUACGGGGGGGGCNGCAGUAGGGAAUCUUCCGCAAUGGGCGAAAGCCUGACGGAGCAAUGCCGCGUGAGUGAUGAAGGUUUUCGGAUCGUAAAGCUCUGUUGCCAGGGAAGAACGCUUGGGAGAGUAACUGCUCUCAAGGUGACGGUACCUGAGAAGAAAGCCCCGGCUAACUACGUGCCAGCAGCCGCGGUAAUACGUAGGGGGCAAGCGUUGUCCGGAAUUAUUGGGCGUAAAGCGCGCGCAGGCGGUCAUUUAAGUCUGGUGUUUAAUCCCGGGGCUCAACCCCGGAUCGCACUGGAAACUGGGUGACUUGAGUGCAGAAGAGGAGAGUGGAAUUCCACGUGUAGCGGUGAAAUGCGUAGAUAUGUGGAGGAACACCAGUGGCGAAGGCGACUCUCUGGGCUGUAACUGACGCUGAGGCGCGAAAGCGUGGGGAGCAAACAGGAUUAGAUACCCGNRGUAGUCA